rnacentral:rRNA from 1 species
UAGCUAGUUGGUAGGGUAAAGGCCUACCAAGGCGACGAUCGGUAGCUGGUCUGAGAGGAUGACCAGCCACACUGGAACUGAGACACGGUCCAGACUCCUACGGGAGGCAGCAGUGGGGAAUAUUGGACAAUGGGGGCAACCCUGAUCCAGCAAUGCCGCGUGUGUGAAGAAGGCCUGAGGGUUGUAAAGCACUUUCAGUGGGGAGGAGGCUUGUUAGGUUAAGAGCUAAAUAAGUGGACGUUACCCACAGAAGAAGCACCGGCUAACUCCGUGCCAGCAGCCGCGGUAAUACGGAGGGUGCAAGCGUUAAUCGGAAUUACUGGGCGUAAAGAGUGCGUAGGUGGUUUGGUAAGUUAUCUGUGAAAUCCCUGGGCUCAACCUGGGCAGGUCAGAUAAUACUGCUGAACUCGAGUAUGGGAGAGGGUAGUGGAAUUUCCGGUGUAGCGGUGAAAUGCGUAGAGAUCGGAAGGAACACCAGUGGCGAAGGCGGCUACCUGGCCUAAUACUGACACUGAGGCACGAAAGCGUGGGGAGCAAACAGGAUUAGCUACCCUGGUAGUCCACGCCGUAAACGAUGUCAACUAGCUGUUGGUUAUAUGAAUAUAAUUAGUGGCGC